CCCUUAGAUGUUCUGGGCCGCACGCGCGCUACACUGUUCGACGCAGCGAGUCUUAACCUUGACCGAAAGGUUUGGGUAAUCUUCAGCAAAGUCGAACGUGAUGGGGAUCGAUCAUUGCAAUUAUUGAUCGUGAACGAGGAAUUCCUAGUAAGUGCAAGUCAUCAGCUUGCGCUGAUUACGUCCCUGCCCUUUGUACACACCGCCCGUCGCUACUACCGAUUGAAUGGUUUAGUUAGAUCUCUGGAUUGACGCUGGCUAGGGGGCGACCCUUGGCCAGACUGUUGAGAAACUGCUCAAACUUGAUCAUUUAGAGGAAGUAAAAGUCGUAACA
rnacentral:rRNA from 1 species